GGAUUAGAUACCCUGGUAGUCCACGCCGUAAACGAUGAGUGCCAGAUGUCGGGGGGCGUAGCCCUUCGGUGUCGAAGUUAACGCGUUAAGCACUCCGCCUGGGGAGUACGGCCGCAAGGUUAAAACUCAAAGGAAUUGACGGGGGCCCGCACAAGCGGUGGAGCAUGUGGUUUAAUUCGACGCAACGCGCAGAACCUUACCAGCCCUUGACAUCCCGAUCGCGGAUUUCAGAGAUGAUUUCCUUCAGUUCGGCUGGAUCGGUGACAGGUGCUGCAUGGCUGUCGUCAGCUCGUGCCG
rnacentral:rRNA from 1 species